rnacentral:rRNA from 1 species
UGGGGAUCUGCCCGAUAGAGGGGGAUAACCACUGGAAACGGUGGCUAAUACCGCAUAACGUCGCAAGACCAAAGAGGGGGACCUUCGGGCCUCUCACUAUCGGAUGAACCCAGAUGGGAUUAGCUAGUAGGCGGGGUAAUGGCCCACCUAGGCGACGAUCCCUAGCUGGUCUGAGAGGAUGACCAGCCACACUGGAACUGAGACACGGUCCAGACUCCUACGGGAGGCAGCAGUGGGGAAUAUUGCACAAUGGGCGCAAGCCUGAUGCAGCCAUGCCGCGUGUAUGAAGAAGGCCUUCGGGUUGUAAAGUACUUUCAGCGGGGAGGAAGGCGAUGCGGUUAAUAACCGCGUCGAUUGACGUUACCCCCACAAAAAACACCGCGUAACUCCCUGCCAGCAGCCGCGGUAAUACGGAGGGUGCAAGCGUUAUACUCAAUUACUGGGCGUAAAGCGCGCACACGCGGUCUGUUAAGUCAGAUGUGAAAUCCCCGGGCUUAACCUGGGAACUGCAUUUGAAACUGGCAGGCGUGAGUCUUGUAUAGGGGGGUAUAAUUCCAGGUGUAGCGGUGAAAUGCGUAUAGAUCUGGAGGAAUACCCGUGGCGAAGGCGGCCCCCUGGAC